CCUACGGGAGGCAGCAGUGAGGAAUAUUGGUCAAUGGGAGAGAUGCUGAACCAGCCAAGCCGCGUGAGGGAAGACGGCCCUAUGGGUUGUAAACCUCUUUUGUCGGAGAACAAAACCCGGGACGUGUCCCGGACUGCGUGUAUCCGAAGAAAAAGCAUCGGCUAACUCCGUGCCAGCAGGCGCGGUAAAACGGGGUAUGCGAGCGUUAUCCGGAUUUAUUGGGUUAAAAGGGUGGGUAGGUGGGCCGGUAAGUCAGCGGUAAAAUUGCGGGGCGCAACCCCGUCGAGCCGUGGAAACUGGCAGACUUGAGUUGGCGAGAAGUACGCGGAAUGCGCGGUGUCGCGGUGAACUGCAUAGCUAUCGCGCAGAACUCCGAUUGCGAAGGCAGCGUACCGGCGCCAGACUGACGCUGAGGCACGAAAGCGUGGGGAUCGAACAGGAUUAGAUACCCGGGUAGUC
rnacentral:rRNA from 1 species